GCCUCUGUAGCUCAGUUGGUUAGAGCGCUGCACCGGAAUCGCACGUUCGAUUCCGGCCAGCUGAGCA